rnacentral:lncRNA from 1 species
GAGCUUUCACAUGCUGCUCCUUUACUUACUGUUUUUUUCUGUUGCCUGUGGCAGGAGAUUUUCCAUCAGAUCAGUUGGUGCAGAAAGGUCAUCGAGUCCAGAGGGCUUUCUUCAAAGAUAUCCAUGCCUUGCCCCUUGUCCCUAACCCAGUGGUGUGUUUGGAAGCAGGAGACACAAUCCUUUUCCAGCUUAGCAUCAAUUCUCACAAUCGUGCAUCCAGCCACUACCCUGUUUAUCAGAAGCAACAUCUUUAUAACAGCAACCCUAGCUGGGAUUAUGGACCCUUCCGAAGGCUGGACCACCUCAUCCAGGAGACUCACCUCAACAUCUCCUGGUUUGCCCAUGUUUUCCUGGAGUCUGGGACAUACGUAUUCAGGGAUAGGACCAUUCAGGAGCACUUUUUGAUUGUGACUGUGAACGAAGCAAAUGUGGGCUGUGACCCCAGAGAUGUGUCCUUCCAGCCCUCUUCUCUGUUCCAGCUGGCCAGACAUGGGAUUUUGAAGCAGCAGGAACUGAACUUGGCUCCUAACUGGGCUUCCAUUAUAGCGGUGCUCUUCAUUCUGGGCUUCCUAAUUGUGCUGCUGACAACCCUGGCUAUUGUGCUGCAGCCCAGUGUCCCUGUCCUUAGUCCCCUGAGGAGCUGGAAGCCACGAUGGAGGAGCCUGGGUGAGCCACACAUCCCACCAGAGUAUGUCCUCCUUAAAGAAAGGUGAGCUGCCUUAACAUGGUGGAUAAUCAGGAGCUUGGACCUCGAUAGUAUAGUCAUA